rnacentral:rRNA from 1 species
CCUACGGGAGGCAGCAGUGGGGAAUAUUGCACAAUGGGGGAAACCCUGAUGCAGCGACGCCGCGUGAGCGAUGAAGUAUUUCGGUAUGUAAAGCUCUAUCAGCAGGGAAGAAAAUGACGGUACCUGACUAAGAAGCCCCGGCUAACUACGUGCCAGCAGCCGCGGUAUUACGUAGGGGGCAAGCGUUAUCCGGAUUUACUGGGUGUAAAGGGAGCGUAGACGGGGGUGCAAGCCAGAUGUGAAAGCCUGGGGCUCAACCCCGGGACUGCAUUUGGAACUGUGCUGCUAGAGUGUCGGAGGGGCAGGCGGAAUUCCUGGUGUAGCGGUGAAAUGCGUAGAUAUUAGGAGGAACACCAGUGGCGAAGGCGGGCUGCUGGACGAUGACUGACGUUGAGGCUCGAAAGCGUGGGGAGCAAACAGGAUUAGAUACCCCUGUAGUC